rnacentral:rRNA from 1 species
GACGAGGGAUCCUAGCGUUGUUCGGAAUUAUUGGGCGUAAAGCGGGUGCAGGUGGCUUUGUAAGUCAGGUGUGAAAUCCCAGGGCUCAACCCUGGAAGUGCAUUUGAUACUGCGAAGCUUGAGUGUGGGAGAGGUGAGUAGAAUUCCAGGUGUAGUGGUGAAAUGCGUAGAUAUCUGGAGGAACACCGGUGGCGAAGGCGGCAUCCUGGACCGGCAUUGACGCUGAGGCGCGAAAGCCAGGGGAGCAAACGGG